GGGAAGGCGGCUCAGUGGUAGAGCACUUGCCUUGCAUGCAUGAGGCCCUGGGUUCGAUUCCUCACCACCACA
rfam:Dipodomys ordii contig_34528, whole genome shotgun sequence.